rnacentral:rRNA from 1 species
AACACGUAUGAGAGUAACUGUUCAUACGUUGACGGUAGUUUAACCAGAAAGUCACGGCUAACUACGUGCCAGCAGCCGCGGUAAUACGUAGGUGGCAAGCGUUAUCCGGAUUUAUUGGGCGUAAAGAGAGUGCAGGCGGUUUUCUAAGUCUGAUGUGAAAGCCUUCGGCUUAACCGGAGAAGUGCAUCGGAAACUGGAUAACUUGAGUGCAGAAGAGGGUAGUGGAACUCCAUGUGUAGCGGUGGAAUGCGUAGAUAUAUGGAAGAACACCAGUGGCGAAGGCGGCUACCUGGUCUGCAACUGACGCUGAGACUCGAAAGCAUGGGUAGCGAACAGGAUUAGAUACCCUGGUAG